GUUUUAUUCGCAUUGUCAUGUAAGACUUUUCAGAGAUUCAUUUUUCCCAAUGACUCUAUCACAAACAAGUGAAUGCUCCUGCAGUAGCUGCUUUGGCCAGAAAGAUUUGCUACGGAACAGAAAGGAAAAUCAUGUACAGUAAUGGCUGUAGACACAGAGUUCUCCUACUUAAGAUCAGGGAUAGAUGAGAAGAGAAGCAGUUUUGCUGGAAAAGGGUCUGAGACACACACAGGAAGUUCUGGCAUUUGAAGCAUGAAGGAAAACCUGCAGAUGAAAAAUGCUUUGGGCUUCUGUUCGCUCUCUCCAUACUUUAGCAACAACCGCUAUCAUUCAAAGGCAGUAAAAG
ensembl:lncRNA